rnacentral:rRNA from 1 species
AUAUGUAAGUUAGUGGCGGACGGGUGAGUAACGCGUGGGUAACCUGCCUUGUACUGGGGGACAACAGUUGGAAACGACUGCUAAUACCGCGUAAGCGCACAGCUUCGCAUGAAGCAGUGUGAAAAACUCCGGUGGUACAAGAUGGACCCGCGUCUGAUUAGCUGGUUGGUGAGGUAACGGCCCACCAAGGCAACGAUCAGUAGCCGGCCUGAGAGGGUGAACGGCCACAUUGGGACUGAGACACGGCCCAAACUCCUACGGGAGGCAGCAGUGGGGAAUAUUGCACAAUGGGGGAAACCCUGAUGCAGCAACGCCGCGUGAGUGAAGAAGUAUUUCGGUAUGUAAAGCUCUAUCAGCAGGAAAGAAAAUGACGGUACCUGACUAAGAAGCCCCGGCUAACUACGUGCCAGCAGCCGCGGUAAUACGUAGGGGGCAAGCGUUAUCCGGAUUUACUGGGUGUAAAGGGAGCGUAGACGGUUUUGCAAGUCUGAAGUGAAAGCCCGGGGCUUAACCCCGGGACUGCUUUGGAAACUGUAGAACUAGAGUGCAGGAGAGGUAAGUGGAAUUCCUAGUGUAGCGGUGAAAUGCGUAGAUAUUAGGAGGAACACCAGUGGCGAAGGCGGCUU